UCCUGGGUGGCUCAGUCAGUUGAGCAUCUGGCUUCGGCUCAGGUCAUGAUCUCACAGUUUGUGGGUUCAAACCCCACAUCGGGCU
rfam:Felis catus isolate Cinnamon breed Abyssinian chromosome X, whole genome shotgun sequence.